CUUCCUCACUGAUCACUGCCGAGUGAAAGAGAUCUUUGGUUUUGCCUUUGCUGACUGCUGAUCUGAUCAUCUCAAAUCUGCUGACCUGUUGCAGAAAGCCCUCUCCCUCUAUCAUUAACAAGCCAUUCAGUCUGUCCUAUCACUCUCCCUACUCUAUCUAUUUUGACAAGCCGUUCUAUCUUGUAUCACGCUAUCCCAAGAGCUCUAUCUAAUUUACCAAAAAUCACGUUUUGACUGGAAUCAAGUUUUGACUGGAAUCAAGUUUUGUCUGGAAUCAAGUUUUGACUGGAAUCAAGCUUUGACUGGUCCCAGUUUUUGGGAAUUGAAGUUACCAGUACUUCAUCUAUCUGUUACAGAAUUCUGACAGGUCUCUGCUCUCACUGCUCCUUCUUUUCUAUAGUUAAACUCUCUCACAUCCAGUCUUUUUGCUGGAAAUUACAAGUAGAAAGUUGAAAUUACAAUAGUAGAAUUACAGUACAGUAGAAACUAUUUACACAGCCUUAGAUUUGUCAUUUUAAUUUUUACUUGGAACACUUUGGAAUAAACACUGAUAGUUUGGCUUAGAGGUUCAAUUGCUUUGAUACAUUAUAUAAAAUUUACAACUUCUUAAAGGUUUUUUGUAAUAAGAUAAACUUGUUAUU